rnacentral:rRNA from 1 species
AUUGAACGCUGGCGGCAGGCCUAACACAUGCAAGUCGAGCGGAUGAAGGGAGCUUGCUCCUGGAUUCAGCGGCGGACGGGUGAGUAAUGCCUAGGAAUCUGCCUGGUAGUGGGGGAUAACGUCCGGAAACGGGCGCUAAUACCGCAUACGUCCUGAGGGAGAAAGUGGGGGAUCUUCGGACCUCACGCUAUCAGAUGAGCCUAGGUCGGAUUAGCUAGUUGGUUGGGUAAAGGCCUACCAAGGCGACGAUCCGUAACUGGUCUGAGAGGAUGAUCAGUCACACUGGAACUGAGACACGGUCCAGACUCCUACGGGAGGCAGCAGUGGGGAAUAUUGGACAAUGGGCGAAAGCCUGAUGCAGCCAUGCCGCGUGUGUGAAGAAGGUCUUCGGAUUGUAAAGCACUUUAAGUUGGGAGGAAGGGAAGUAAGUUAAUACCUUGCUGUUUUGACGUUACCAAAAGAAUAAGCACCGGCUAACUUCGUG